CGCCCGCUCAGAAACUUAAAGGAAUGACGGGGGCCCGCACAAGCGGUGGAGCAUGUGGUUUAAUUCGAUGGUACGCGAGAAACCUUACCAGGGCUGACAUACGCUGGAAGCGGUCCGAAAGGAUCGUGCCGCUUGCGGCCGGCGUACAGGUGCUGCAUGGCUGUCGUCAGCUCGUGCUGUGAAGUGUUGGGUUAAGUCCCGCAACGAGCGCAACCCCUGCUGUCUGUUGCCACCACGAGAGGUGGGGACUCAGGCGGAACUGCCGGUGACAAACCGGAGGAAGGUGGGGACGACGUCAAAUCAUCAUGCCCCUUAUGUCCAGGGCUUCACACAUGCUACAAUGGUCGGUACAACGCGUGUGCGACACUGUGAGGUGAAGCUAAUCGCUCUAAAGCCGGUCUCAGUACGGAUUGGAGUCUGAAACCCGACUCCAUGAAGUUGGAAUCGCUAGUAAUCGCGCAUCAGCAUGGCGCGGUGAAUACGUUCCCGGGCCUU
rnacentral:rRNA from 1 species